ensembl:misc_RNA 7SK 7SK RNA
GGACGUGAGGGCUAUCUAGCUGUAACAUCUGUCACCCUAUUGAUCGCCAAGGUGGAUCUGGCUGAUCUAGCUGGCUGGGCAGGUGUCCCCUUCCCCGCUCAUCACUCCAUGUGCAUCCCUCCCAAAGCCAAACACUUGAAGAGGAUGACCGUCUCUGAUAGAGGAGGACCAGUCUUCGGUCAAGGGUAUACCUCCAAACCUCCAAAUAAGUUCUCAAAACAGAGGAUUCAUGUCAAGUACUUAGCCCAGUACCCCACACAGUAUAUGAUAAACAAAUAUUAGAUCUUAUAAACAUCACUGCCAUCCACCAUCACGGGCAUUGCAUGGAUGUGGAA